rnacentral:lncRNA from 1 species
UUUAAUUUGAUAACUCUUUUUCUUCUAGUUUAAGUAAAGGAAGAUUAGCAUAAGGGGUAGUACUGUAAAUAACAAGAUGAUAAGAGGAAAGAUGUGUCACCUGAUGGUUUGAGAUGGUAAUCUAUAGCCACGUGUCACCAAUAAAGCGGCUAUCUACAAAUGCCUUGAGACGAUAGAAACGACACCGUUCAAAACCGAUCCAAUGAGUGGAGGGAUAAGUUUAGGCAACUUGACUUUCUAAAUAUUUAUAUUCUCAUAUC